GUUUCUGCCUUGACUUUCUGCCCUACCUUCCCUGGAUGAUGGACAGCAAGCUGUACGGUGAAAUAAACACUUCUCUUCCCAAGUUGAUUUGUUCAUCAUAUUUUAAUCACAGCAAUAGAAGCCAUAACUAAGACAAGGACAUGGGAGGCGAUUAGCAGAGUUCACCACAACCCCUCUACUUGGUUUUAAAUUUGCAGAACAACUACUCAGGCCUAAAUCACUCAGAUGACUUCAUUAAAAACAACGGAUUUGGUCCUGCAUGGCUGCAAAUAGACUCCUCCAUCCCCUAUCAGAGAUGGAGUUUCGGGAUGACAACCAGUCAGAUGAAUCUGCUCAGGAUGUUCUGAUCAAAGUGGUGCCCACACUUCCCAGGGGAUGGAGGAGAGGGUUUUGUACACAUGAACACUGUAUGUGAAGCAGGCUUCCAGGGUUCCUUCAGCAGAGUGAGAAAAAGAUGGACUGUUGACUACACACAGAAAUUAUGCCAAGAGACACAUGCCAAAGAUGUCUGCAGAUGAAGGAUGCUAAGGAGGAGCACAUUGAGGAGAAGCACAGAAACUGGCUACUGUCCGUGCUGCUCAAGAAUGCCUGGGCCUCAGAGCAUAAGGUGGUAUGGUACCCAGAAGAGCAUGGAGACAUUAGGGCUCUCAUUCUUGGAAAUCUAACUCCUUGGGAGGUGAUGUAAACGUUAUGGUUCUCCUAUGGGUACAUGGGCAAAUGAAACAAAAUGAAACAAAAUGAAACAAAACAACAACAAAAACCCAACCAACAACAAAUCAAACCAACCAAACAAACAAACAAAAUCCUGCAGGAAUACUUAAGUUAAAAAGGAUAAGGCUUCUGAGUGCCUGCAGAAAGA
rnacentral:sRNA from 1 species